GAUUCCAUGCUGAGAUAUUUCUUUAGUUGAGUAUAACGAGUUUAGGUGAGUCAGGGAAUGGCAUCUGUUGCUGCUAGGGUUAGAAAUGACACUUCUGAUGUUUAAGUUUAUAGAUACAUCUGCAGCAGGUAUUGCUUUAUCUCUUGUACGUGCGUUUGCGGCAAGUAUCUUGGGCCAUUUGUAGGCCAUCUUGCCUUCAAAUAGUGCCGUUUUUCUCAAUUUUUCUGGCUGUUGAGCAUCUGCAGAUAUUGUAGGUCCGCCCUGUGGUGAUUUUGUCACAAUAUAGAAGUGAAUAAAUAAUUGCGUCGGUCAAUGCAAGAUGAUAUAUUUCAUUUGUUGUUGAAGCUUUUUUUAUAUGGAGUUCUAUGAAGAAUUUGCAGUGCAUGCUUACAAUUAAUGUCUUCAGGCUUGGAUUUGGUAAAAGGAAUCAAACUUUUUUAGCGCUUUACUUUGGACAGUGCUUCUUAUCUACCUAGGCAGGUAUGACUUAAAUUCUCUCAAUGGGAUUUCAGCUUCUUCUUUUGUAGUUGCAAGUGGCACAAAAGCCACUUUAAGUUGUAGUAACAGGAAAAACGCUUUCGAUUGAUUUCUCAGCUGAUAUUUAUGUGCAUUAUGAUGCGAUUCUUAUCUCAGUGUCACAGCUUGCUUCUACAUUCUUUUGCAAUUUCUCAAGCUCUCACCUCAAGAGUCUUCACAAGAUCCCAUCUACCAUGUUCUGUUGCAGCAUUCUAGCAAGGGUCAUCAAACUCUUUUCAACAUCUUGGGAGGAAUGAAUCCGGAGGCCCCUGUGAAAGCACAGAUAAUGCACGGUUACAACAUAAAUAGCCUAGACGAACCCUCAUAUAGGAAUAAUAAGUGAAGAGCAAGUGGAUUACUUCAACAUGCCAUUGUAUCCUGCGUCUCCGGUGGAGAUUGCACGGCUAGUCAAAAUGGCCGGUAGUUUUCACAUAGAGACGAUGGAGCUGCUCAACACCCAAACGAGGUAUGACGGUGGAGUCCAUGCAUAGGAUAUUGUGAUACACCUAAGAGCGGGCUUGGAGGGGAUCAUCAGCAAACACUUCCGAAGCAAGAUCAUCUCGCCCCAUUCUUGUUAGGCUAGUAUUAGAUUCUUGUUAGGUCAGCAGUCUGAAACUUGUUAUCAUUACAUGGGUUGGGUUGGCUAUGAUGGAUGUGCUGGACUUUGAACAAAAGAUGGUAACUAUUCAAGAGGCGCGGAUGGGUGUCAUUGCAGCGGCCUUGAUUCGUUGAACUUUGCUCAAUCCUGUGGCCGAUGUUCCAUCGGGUUGUUGG